rnacentral:rRNA from 1 species
AUGGAUUCACAUGUGCAUGGCAAUAAGCGUGCGGAGUAUGACAGGUUGUUGCGUGAAGCCCGCCGGGAGAGCGACGCGAAGGUCCAACACGAACGUGAUGAGAUGGAUAGGGCACAAAAACGUGCGUAUGUCGAUAGGAUGCUUAAGGAUGAGCGUGCUGAUAUGUCUCAAAAGAUUAAGCAGAUGCGUGAAGAGAUGGAAAAUAAGUUAAAGCAGGACCGCGAGGUCAUGGAAAAGAAAUUCCAGCUGGCGUACAAGGAGAUGCAGCUUAAAUUGCAAAAGGACCGGAAGGUUGUCGACGGCCUUAUACAGACAGAGCGUGUCAACAUGGACGCGAAUGUGUUGCAGGCACGUGCCAAUAUGGACAUUAGGCUGCAACAGGAGCGCAAGGACAUGGACUACAAGGCUAUGGUGGAGCAGGUCAUGAUGGAAGGAAAGAUGCUGGAAGACCGUGCGAUGUUUCAAUUC